rnacentral:rRNA from 1 species
UUUUUAUAUAAAUUAAUUUAAAUUAUUUUAUAAAUAAUUUUUUUUUUUAUGUUUAUUUAAUUUUUAUUAAUUAAUAUUAUAUUAAUUUUUAUUUGUUUUAGUAAUAAUUUAAAUGAAUUUUCUUUAAUUUAAUUUUAGUAAUGAAAAUGAAUAUCUUUAAAAUUUAUUAAGUAAAUUUAAUUUAUUGUACCUUUUGUAUCAGGGUUAAUUAAUAAAAAUAUUUUUAUUAUAAAAUAAAUCUCGAAUUUAAAAGAUCUAAUUAAAAAUUUUAGUUAUUGUUGAAUUAAUAUUAUAAAUUUUAAAUUAGUAGUGAUAUGUUAUUCGGUUUUAAAUAUAUCUAGUUUUUUAAGAAUUGAAUUUAAAUUCAGCUUUAAAAUUAUUAUUUGAUUUAAUUUUUUAAUUAAUUAUAUUUUUAAGGUAAAUAUAUUAGGGAUAAACUUAAUAUAUUUUUUAUAAUUUUUAAUAAAAAUUUAUUUAUAAGUAUUUAUAAAAUUUAAUAUCUUUUUAAAAAAUUUUAUAAUUUAUAUGUAUAUAUAUAUAUAUAAUUUUAAAAUUAUUAUUUAAUUUUAUUUAUUAAAAAAAUAUAUUUAAUGUUUAUUUAUUUGUUAAAAUGAUUAAAUUAGUAAAAAUUGUUUGUUUAAAUAAUAAAUUUAAAUUAAUUUAUUUUAAGGAAUUAGACAAAAAAAUUUAUAUUUAAUUGUGUAUUUACCUGUUUAUCAAAAACAUGUCUUAUUGAUUAAAUAAUAAGUCUAUUCUGCCCAUUGAAUUAAAAUUUUAAAAGGCUGCAGUAUAUUGACUGUACAAAGGUAGCAAAAUAAUUAGUUUUUUAAUUGAAAACUUGAAUGAAAGAAUGAAUAAAAUAUAUAUUGUCUCAAAAUAAUUAUAUUUAAUUUAAAUAAAAAGUAAAAAUGCUUUUAUUUUUUUAUUAGACGAGAAGACCCUAAGAAUUUAAUAAUUAUUAAGGAUAAAUUAUUUUUGAAAUUGAUUUUUUAUUUUUAUGAUUAUUUUACUGGGAGGGUAAUUAAAAAUAUUAAACUUUAAUUUAAAUUUAACUUUGAUUAAUGAUUACUUGAUAAUUUUUAUAAUUAUAAGAAAUAAUUACCUUAGGGAUAACAGCGUAAUAAUUUUGGAGAGUUCAUAUUGAUAAAAUUGUUUGCGACCUCGAUGUUGAAUUAAAAUAAAAAUUAAAUGGAGAUAUUUAAAUUUUUAGUCUGUUCGACUAUUAAAAUUUUACAUGAUUUGAGUUCAGAUCGGUGUGAGCCAGAUCGGAUUUUAUCUAUAAAUAAUUAUAUAUUUUAUUGUACGAAAGGACUUAAAAUAUAAAAUAAUUUUUAUUUUAUGAUUAUUAUUAAUUAAUUAAUAAAUUAAAAUUAAAUUUUUAAAAUUUAAUAAUUAAAAAAUUUAUG